AGAAACUCCCAUGUGAGGCUGAAAUCAAUGCUGCCAUCAUUUACAAACAAUCACAGCAGAGACACAAAGGGCCUGGCUCCUCUGAGGACGGUGGAGCAACAACAGCAGCAUACUUUUGAGAUGUCUCUGUGGCAUAGACAGCGCGUGCUUAAUGCAGCUGUUCAAUAGGAGGAAAAACUGUGUGAAUUUCUUAUCAUCUCGGGCUACAAGGUUGUGUGUUUGUUUCCCUCUGUGAGACUCCACAAAUCCCCUUUGACAACAACAGCUUGAGUUUCUACAGAGCAAAACAAAAGUUAUCUGUGGCAGUGGUUUGCUAAAUUUGAGAGGCUUGUGUCCAUACAAAAUGUUGGGUGCUUAAAUUUUACUUUAUAAAUGUGUUUGUUUGUUUUUGUAUCAGGACUGACUGACAUUGUGUUAAGAUAUGUGCAGGAAGCACUGCACACCUUUGCAAAUAAGAGAGGUGUUUCGGUCAAGCCGCCUGAUUAAAGAUGCAUAUGCAAACUAAA